GGGGAAAGUGAGCUCAAAACCUAACUCCCACUUCCAUCCACCAUAACUUCUUCAUCCGAGCUCCGAUCGCCGCACCGUUUGCGGCCGCGUGACCGCAGUGACGAGCUCUACAAAGCUCAGUACCUUUCAAGGAUCAAAUUGAGUUGAGGAAUGGGUGGGCUUUGGUUCGUUUGAGGCACAUACAAUGUGUGAAUUAAGAAGAUAUAUAUAUGCAUUGGAGUUGAAUUAUGGACAUUUGGAAGCUUGGUGGUGAUUGGGGCUAAGAUUGUGAGUGGGUUCUCAAAGCUUAAGGGGCUGUAUUGUAGCUUGUGUGGCUGCCUUGGACUAAAUAAAGUGAUCG